rfam:Hypholoma sublateritium FD-334 SS-4 unplaced genomic scaffold scaffold_74, whole genome shotgun sequence.
GCAUUAAUGGGGUAGUGGUAACCUGGGUCGUUGCCAUCUGAGUUUGAGCUAUAAACUCGACCCGCCGGGGGUUCGAUUCCCUCUUAAUGCA